ensembl:lncRNA
AUUUGCUCAUGUCUCAUUCCUCACAUUUAAAAACUCCCUUGUAGAAGCAAACUGGAAGGAUGAGGAAUACAAGGUCUGAAUUCAAAGUCAGGGCCCUCGUUACAGCUGGGACAGAGUUAAUUUUCUUCAUAGCAUCUGGUAUGGUGCUAUGACAACACACCAAUGUUUUAUUUGUUUCUGAGCAGUGGUUGCACAGAGUCAAAAGGCAUUUCAGCUUCCCCUAUUGCCCUGCCAGUGAGGGGACUAAGGGUGGCACAAGAAGCUGAAAGAGGAUGGAACCAGGACAGCUGAUCUAAACUUUCCAAAGGGAUAUUCUAUACCAUGUGACAUAAUGUGAAAGAUAUAAAACUGAGGGCAGUCGGCCAGAGGGACAGUCGCUGCUCAGCAACUGGAUGGGCAUCAGUCAGUGGGUGUGUCUACAGCUGCUGUCAAAUCUCAGACAGAAAAAAAGAAUCACAAUCUACUGUAACUGAAAACAUACUUAUUUUUGCAUAGGGAGGAGUGCUACUGCCUUUUUCAAAGCAUAAGACUUAAAAAAAAAAAAAAUCUUAUUUUAUUUUAUUGACUGACAUGUAAAGAAAACAUCCAAAUCCUUAAUUUUUCUUCCUGCACGAGUGCCACAAAGUCUGGAGGGGGGUGUUAGAUCAAGUGCAUAGUGUAAUACCUUGCAUUUCCAACUCCUUUAUUAGCUCUGUAUAUUUAUAUAUACAUAUUAUAUAUGCAUAUAUAGAGAGAAAUAUAUACUUCAUGCUUGUUUCUAAAGAAACAUUCUCAUGAUUAGGUGUCAUCUGCCUUUAACGUUACUCAAAGGUAGUCAUUUGGCAUCUGGCUGACCUGAGCCCAGCCUUGGAAAGUAUAAGCUGCAUUACCUUAUCCAUCAAUAUGACCCAAACUAAUUACUCUAUCACUUAUCAUGAAAAUUAUCUUAAAACAAUCGCCUUUCAUUUUUUAGAAUAUUUUAAUUUGAUUAACUAAUACUAUUCCAAAAUAAAAAAUAAAGGUUCUGGUUUAUUGUAAAUGCUGCAAGUGCUCUUCCUCUGGCUAUAGCACUUUUUUAAUGCCUUUGCUAAUGGAUACAAUACAGUGUGUUUUAGAUGUGAGAUUUAUACUUAAUUGGCAUGUUUUAUUUUCCACAUGUUCUGCAAAAGCUGUCAAAAGCUGAGACUAUGCUUUUGCUAAGGAAUUAAUCAUCAUUAAACACUAAACCAAAAGUAUGUAAAGUAACUUGUCAGAAAUUAACAAGCUCUGUAGAUUCAGCAGGCUCAUCUCAGAAUAAGUGUGUAGGACAUCUUCAAUGGCCACAUUGUUAUAAAUGUAGUCAAAUUCCAAUGCACAGUCUAUGAUUGAUUCUUUUUAGAAAUGUAUUCGAUUGACUAAAGUCUCUUGCCCAUGAGAUUGCCAGAAAUUAGACAGCUGACAAAUGAGUUAAGAAUUAACUUUUUUUAUAAUAUGCUCAAAUUAAUAUAUAGUUGUCAUGUUCAUAAAAUCCAUUAACUUUAGUACAUAGUGUAGUUCAUCAUGGAGCAUUUGCAGAUUUGCUCAUUGUGUGGUCCUUGUCCAACACGCAUUCUGAUGGUGAUCAGAUAUUUCAGAGCAAUUGUAACAUUGUCUGCCAAAAUAAGUAAAUAAGUAAAUAAAUAAAUAAAUAAAUAAAUAAAUAAAUAAAUAAAUAAAUAAAGUAAAAAAGCUUCAAGAAAAUUGCAUUACUUGUCUACAGAAUACUAUUACAUUUCUCAGGCUGCCAGUCAUUCUUUCCUAGUCAAACACACACAAAUCUCAUAUUUAGCUGAACUGAAUGCUCCAUUUACAGUAAACAUUGAAUAGAUCACAUUAUUUCCAGGCCAUGAAGAAAGUAUGUACUUAGCCAUUUUUUUUAAUGGAAAAACCUUGGAUAGUGAUUUCCUUAAAAAAUUAGGACUAUGUGUUUAGAAGACAGAGAAUUAACAGAUAUAGAACAAAAUAUCUGUAACUCUGAUGAGUAGAAAAUCAGAGAAGUAGUCCUAAAACCACAUAAGCAGACAAUGAAUUGCAAUCUCCUAGGGGAAGCAGGGGCAGCCAAGAGAAAGAGCUACCAUAUAAGGGUGAGAGUUGACACUGAACAUCGAAGAGAGUUCUACAGUAUGUAGAAGCAAGACAUGAAUAGUAGCUGACAGAGCCUGGAGUUUUGAAAGUGCUGUUUAUCCAGCGGGCAGCUCAGCGCUACAGAACUGUUUCCUGCUGGAGAGAGAAUCAGAAUAAAAAAAACAACAAAGUAGAACACUUGGGUUCAGAUAAAAACUAUUUACUAAGGCAGAAAAUGAAGAGAAAUUGAAAAUAAUGAUAGUAAUGAUAGUAAUAUAUAUAUGUAUAACACAAAUGAUGCACAGCACAAUUACUCACCACCUACCAAUCAAUGCCCAGACAGCCAACUCCUCAUUGUUUUACAAACUUUUUUUUUUUUUUUUUUUUUUUUUUGUAUGAUGCUAUCUGUUAUGUAAUAUCUCUUUGGCAAGUUCAGAUCUGUCCUGGUUCUGUCUCCUGCCAGCUUUCUGUGCCCCAUCAGCUCCCCUUGCUGGCAGAACAGUACAAGAUACUGAAACAUCCUUGGCUCUAUGUAGCCACUCCUCAGCAACAACUGAAGUAUUGGUCUGCUAUAGAUGUUGUUUCUCUCCCAAAGCCAAAACAUCACAUCAUACCAGGCACAAUAAAUAGAAGAAAAAAGAAAAAGAAAAAAAAAAAAUCAACUCUGUCCCAGCUGAAACCAGGACAGAAGGGCAUGGACCUGAUUACUACACAGUGAGAAAAAAUAAAAGCAGAUUUUAUCUAGACCACUAUGUGCCUGGAUAUGUUUAUCUAUGUAUUAGAUAUAAUAAAAUGUAAGCAGAACCCUAUGAAACACCAGCUUAUGCAUAAUGUUUAUUAUUUCAAAUUUGCUUCUGAAAAGUUAACUCGUGUGAGGCAAAACUUAGAGUCAAGGGGUUUGCAAACUACAGGGGUUGUUGCCAGUCUGGAUGCCAGCAACUGAGUCAUGGGUUGUCAGAUCUCAGGCAAGUUGCCUCUAAGGAUUUGGCUCCUGUCCUUGGCAAAGGGCUGUGGACACAGUGAAAUUUGAUUCAAGAACAGUCACAAAAACCUCAAAAGUGUCUAACCAGAACCAACUUGGCUAUGGUUCUAACAGAGUAUUAAUAUCCUCAAGUGACUGAACAAGUAGCGCUGAGGGAGAAAAAAUAAAGGCAGUCUCAUAAGCCAAAGUAAAAACUUGGGGUAGUCUCAGAGAUUAAUACAGUGGCUGACCUUUAAUAUGUCAUUAAAUCAAUCUUCAAGAAAUCAAUUCUCAUUGAAAUCACAUUAAUCUAGCCUUCUAUUCAUCCUACUCUGAGCAACAAUCUUAUUUGCUGCUGUUCUCGGUGUUCUCUGGUGUAACACUUCUUUUGCUUAUUCUGUACAUCUCUUGAUAUAAAUGAGUUUCCCUGUGUAUGUGCACUUUCAAACUCAAGGCUAAUAAGGCAACUGCUUAUUUAAUAGAGACAAUUGCAGUAACUCUUCUCCCUAGAUGUUCUGUGAUGUAUUUCAUGAGGCAUUUAGGGGAGCAGGUAAGUUCAAAUGUCCUCAAUCACAUAUAUGACAUGUAGUUCCCAGUUUUCGUUCAUCAAGACUCCAGAGAAAGAGUGAAGUAUUGUUUGUUUUUUUUUUUCCCUCCAGAUCCAGAGGGCUUAGUAUCUUGUGAUGAUUUCAUGAAAUUGUACUAAAAGAAAGAGAAAAAAGCACAGGUCAAAAUUUUAUUGGCAUAAUAGAUUGUCACUUGGGACUGAUGUCUAGUAGACACGAGGUGUAAAAUUUUACACUGUUAAACACCUCUGUGCCAGGAAAGACCAUGGAGCAGAUCCUCCUGGAAGCUAUGCCAUGGUACAUGGAAAAAGGAGGUAAUAUGGGAGAACCUGCAUAGAUUCACCAGGGGCAAAUACUGUUGCAUCUACCUAGUGGCCUUUUAUGGUGAUGUCACUGCAUCAAUGGUCCAGGGAAGAGCCACUGAUAUCAUCUAUCUGGACUUCAGUAAUGCUUUGAAAUGGUACCCCACAAUAUCUUUCUCUCCAAAUUGGAAAGAUAUGGAUUUAAUGGGUGGACAGCCCAAUGGAGGAAGAACUGGAUGUAGGAUUGAGUCCAGAGAGUGGUGAUCACUGGCUCAAUAUCUGGAUGGAGAUCAGUGAUGAGUGAUAUCCCACAAGGGUCAGUACUGGGACUGACACUCUUUAAUAUCAUCAUCAUGUGGUUCGAGUGCACCCUCAGCAAAUGUGCAGAUGACACCAACCUAUGGGGUGCAGUGAAUGCACCAGAGGGAUGAGAUGUCAUCCAGAGGGACCUAGACAGGCUUGAGCAGUGGGCGUAGGUGAACCUCACCAGGUUCAACAAAUCCAAAUUAAAGAUCUUGCACGUGCGUUGAGGCAACCCUCACUACCAAUACAAGCUGGGGGAUGAAAGAACUGAAUGCAGGGCUGCCAAAAAAGACCUGGGGGUAACGGUGGAUGGCAGGCCGGACAUGAACCAGCAAUGUGCCCUCACAGCCCAGAAAGUCAACAGUAUCCUGGGCUGCAUCAAAAGAAGCGUGGACAGCAGAUCGAGGGAGGUGAUCCUGCCCCUCCACUCUGCACUGGUGAGGUCUCACCUGGAGUUCUGUGUCCAGAUGUGGAGUCCUCAGUACAGGAGGAGUACAACAUAGACCUGUUGGGGCGUGUCCAGAAGAGGGCCGCAAGAAUGAUCCAAGGGAUGGAACACCUCUCCUGUGAGGACAAGUUGAGAGAGCUGGGGCUGUUCAGCCUGCAGAAGAGAAGGCUCUGAGGUGGCCUUUCAGCAUCUACAGGAGACUUACAGGAAAGAAGGGGACAGACUCUUUAAUAGGGUUUGUGGUGAUAGAACAAGGGGAAAUGGCUUCAAGCUUGAAGAGGGUAGAUUUAGGUUGGAUAUAAGGAAAACUCUUUUCCAGUGAGGGUGGUGAAGCACUGGCACAGGUUGCCCAGAGAUAUGGUUGAUGUCCAGUCCCUGGCAACUUUCAAGGUCAGACUGGAUCAGGCCCUGGACAACCUGACCUAGCUGUGGAUGUCCCUGUUUACUGCAGGGGUGUUGGACUAGAUGACCUUUAGAGGUCCCUUCCAACUCCAAGGAUUCUUUGAUUCUAUUAUUCCAUAUUCUUUCCAGGUUUUUUGAUAUUAAAGAAAGUUACGUGUUAUAACAGCCUGAGGGCAUAUUCCCCAAAGAAUUUUCCCUAUUCUUUUAUACUGAAAAUGGUUUAUAACAGCAGAUGCCAAGCAGCUUAAGUCACCUUUAAACUCUGCAACAAUCUUGAUUCCCUAAAGCGGAAGAAUCAAUUUCAGUACUCCCCUUCAUAUUGCUUAUACCACAAGACUUGAUGUUGUAACUCUGCUGCCUGUACACUUAUGCCAGAAAUUGAACAAUUGUCUGCUAAUAAUACCUGGUCCAAGAGCUAAUGGGAUGUGUCACUCAGCAGUAUGGGACACAGGAUUGUUCCUGGCAUGCAUAGCAGCUGUUUCUAUGGAGGUUCAGGGUGUCAAGGCAAGACUUCUGAAACAACACAGCAAAAUGAAACACAAACCACUAACUUUUAAAAAUUGUGAAUUCUUGUCCAAAUCAGUAAAUAUAUUUAUAGGCCUCCAAGAACGGUCCAGUUAGUCCAUCUGAGUGAGAUGUGGGAAACCAAAUGUAAUCAUCUGCUGAGUGAAGACUGUAGACUGACAUCUUCGAAUAUCCCUGGCUUGGAGCUGAUAAAUGGAUGCAUUCCUUCAGCUCAUCUUGUUGGCUAUUCUCAGUUCCAGGUACCUGUUUGGAAGAGAAGAAGAACUACGGUCCCCAAGAGCCUUUUCGAGUACUGUUAUCAUUCCUGCUCAAGGGAACAGAUAUAAGGGCGCAGGUCAUCUGACUCGGCCCUCUUCUCAUCUUGCCGUGUUCCCUGCCGGAUCGGCUCGUUACUGCUGCUCCUGACUGCAUGCAAGGCUUCAGUAUUAGCGUGAGGCCUUUGGCUCUCGGACAAUCUUUCUCUCAAUUAUUGUUGAUUUAUAUUGUGUUAUAGUGUGUUAUCUUACAUUCCGAUACUAUAUUUAGUAAAUUAGUUUGUUUCUCCUCAGACCGUUGCCACUGUUUUUAAUUAUUUUGGGGUCCCCUUUUUCCCUUCCUGGAGGCGUGGAUUUUGCGAAGUCCCUCUGCCCCACUAGUCGCGGAACUGGGCUGGACCAACCCUUAAACCGUUGACACAUCAUAGGUCAAAAAAAUAAAAAAAAGAGACACUGCAUUCACAGUAGAUCUCAUAUAUUAAAACUGACAUAUAUUGAAUUUGGUCUAGUAUAUUUUAGGUCUAAACAUUUUAAGAAUAGAAACUGGAGGCAGCCGAUAGAAGACUGUGUUCAAUUGUAAUGAGAAAAUAAAUGUUGUUUUAACCACACCUAAUCUGGCAACCUAACAGCUAAAACACUGCUGCAGACUAGCACUAUAAUUUAAAAUUUUAAAAAGGUUAUUAAUAAUUUGAUAUAUGAAACACAGGUAUUUUACUGAAGAGGAAUGAAGAAAGAAUGAGGGACAGAAGGAAAGAAUAGAGGAAGAAACAGAAGGAGAUGACAUUCAGUGGGGAAUGAUUAUGAUGAGGUCCUUCCUUCUCCUUUCCAUGUUUCCCAGACUGACAACAUGAGGUAGUGGGCAAUUUUUGAAAUGUCACUGGACUCAGAUUUUAUUUUGUUUACUAUGAAGGAUAAUCAUUCAGAGAGCUGUGGUUUAGCACUGCACACUCAAAUCUAAGUAAUGUAUAUUUUUAGGGUUUCUAUGGCUCUUCUGAUCUUUGUUUCUUGAAAAGAUCCAUUUGCCUCAAGACUGUUCCUCUCCUGCCAACAUUAAUUAAAGGAAAAUAGGUAGGAAUUACCCUUGAGUUAAAAGGAAGUCUUUAAUAGCUCCAGGAAAGGUGAAAAUUGUUUUCAGGUAUUUUGAUUCAAUUAUUCUACCUAACAUUCAUUCUGUCUACAUAUAAUGAAAGGAUAAAUAACCAAGGAAUGAGACAGAGGCAAUUUGUGGGAAAAAAAAAAAAAAAAAAAAGCCAACAGGAAUGAUCAAAGACAGCAAAUAUUGAAAAGGAAAAUAUACCUUUUUAAUUCUUCUAGUUCUCAGUCUUGUUUACCUUUCUUUUUUCAUCGUCAGUCUGCUUUAGUUUAUAUAUCACGUAUUGAUUGAUCUUGAGCUAGUAAGUGGAAUCAGAUCCACCCCCUCUCCUGAAUAUCUGUUAUACCAAAAGUCAUAUGCAAAACAGAAUAACUGUACCAUCUUCAAAAAGACUAUUAAAGGAGAAACCACUGCUUCACACUGAGUCAGUUUAAACAUCUGAUAACCAUUUCAGCUGAUGCACACACCCAGACAUAUCUCCUGAGGAGUGAGACAGCUGCCCAGACCUUUGGCUCUAGGGAACUCUUGAAUCUAGUGGCUACCCAUGGGACUGAGGAAGGUGAGGGGUAUCAUGGGUGCAGAUGUGCCCAACUGAAUGAUCUUCCUGAGCACGUGACCAGGCUGCAAGAGGAGGUCAUAGAAUCAUAGAAUCAUAGAAUGGCUUGGGUUGGAAAGGAUAAUCUUUGCGGCCCUCCUCUGGACCCUCUCCAUGUGCUCCACAUUUUUUCCUUUAUUGGGAGCCCCAGACCUGGAUGCAGUACUUCAGAUGAGGCCUCACAAGGGCAGAGUUGAAAGGGACAAUCAUUUCCCUGCCCCUCAUGGCUACCCCUCCCCUCAUGGAGCCAAGGAUACCACUGGUCUUUUGAGCUGCAAGAGCACACUGCUGGCUCAUGUUAUGCUUUUCAUCCAUGAGGACUCCCAAGUCCUUCUCCACAGGGCCACUCUCAGUGAGUUCUCCCAGUCUGGGCACAUAUCACGUAUCUGAGAUUACUCUGACCUAAGUGCAAAAUCUUGCACUUUGCUAUGGUGAACCUCAUUAGGUUCACAUGUGCCCACCUUUUGAGUUUGUUGACGUCCCUCUGGAUCAUGGCCCUUCCUUCUAACAUGUCAACUGUGCCACUCAGCUUGGUGGCAUUGGCAAACUUGCUGAGGGUGCACUUGAGCCCACCAUCGAUGUCACUGAUGAUGUUGAAGAACAGCAAUCCCAAGUGCAGUGAAUGCAGUGCCCAUGCUGUCCCACCGCACACGUAGAAACAGAGCAGAUUGAGUCAGGUGAGUAUGAUCUGGAUUGCCUACAGCCCAGUUGUGAGGAGCCAGGACCCGGGUCACAUCUGGGAUCCAAGUCUGUGUGGAUGGGCCUACUCUAGAAAGUGAAAAACAGUCUGAAGGGAAUCAGAUAAAGACUUCUCUGGAGAGCAGUCAUUUUUUUUUUUUUGUAUUUUAUUUAUCUGAUGGACAGUCCAGUGGGCCUUUGAUUUAAAUUCCUAUGUGCUUAAACAGUGAUAAAAGACUGAAAAUGCAGAGAAAAUUACUGUCCAGUGUCAUCUCCCUAAAUAAAAUUUGCUGUAAUCUUCAUACACUUUUUUUUCUUUCUGUGUUUUUUGUUUUUUGUUUUUUUUUUUUUUUGCAUAAAUAACAAGUUUGGAAAUUUUAAGAUACUUUUAUUUUCUCAAUGAUUUCAUUCUCUACUGCAGUUUUAUAUCUAUGUUUACCGAUGUUUCCACC